GUCCUCUUCCCCAAGAAUCUUUGUCGAGAUGGCUUCUUGAUCCCGUUCAUUCACGGCUUUUCUUUCUGUUCUUCGUCUUUUUUUCUCGUCUCCAAGAAUCUUCCUAGUACUCAAAAUAAGAUGGGCUUUUCUUUCCGUUCUUUGUUCCUACGAGUUUCAAGAAUCUUCGGAGCAUUUCAGAUUAAGAUCGCUCCUUGAUCCCAUUUCUUGCUGAGCUUUGGAUCGAUUUAAUGCGUAAUUUCUUCGACAAAAUAUGGGCGGGAAAAUAGCAGAGAGAGCAAUUUUAUCUUAGCCCGUAAAAGAGCGUAAACAUAGCUUAAAACUCAUGUCCGUUAACCUAUGGGUAAUCCCGUCUUAUUUCGCAUCAAACUGGAUCUUUGUAGCCAUAGGCUCCAUAUUUCUAUCGGAACAAACUAAUUUGUGUUCUAAAAAAUCAAUUAUUUUUUCGCACUUUCCUGAUGCUGUUCGAUCAGGGAAGUAGUAGUAGUUCUUGAAGGCUCCAAUGAGUUGCAUCAAGUGUUCUUGUAUCACAGAAAUUUUUACGCGGUGAUAUGAGCACGACUACCGUGGGACCAGUGACGGACGUGGUCACCCUCACAGUUUUCAGGGGUGAGUCACGCAGCAGCUAGAGGCGGUGGCCGUUAUGAGUCGGUGGCUGUGUGCACGUGACAAAGUCGAGUUAAAAGGAGAGCUCUCCCCUCUCUCGUCCCCGCCCGACCUGUCCAAAGCCCUCUCGGUCUACCUCUGCAUCUUUUCUCUUCUCUUUUCCCACAAGAAUAAACCCUACCCUCCAUGGAUCUUUCGAUCCCAUCCUCCAUAGGAGCCUUCCCAGGUCGAAUAGUUUGAGCUUUCUAAUCAAUCCCUCCUCCGAUGGCACAACCAACCUCCCAAGAGUCUCAUCGUGGGAUAGGGUCUAGCCUCGCCAAUGGCUGGGAAUUAAAAUCUGGAAUGCACGAAGAAAGCUCCAACGAGAUUCAUCGAAUACUCGUGUGAGUUAUGGACGUACACGAUCAGAUGACUCUUCUUCUUCUUCUUUUGUUUUUUUUCAUCUUCCCAGCUAUUUAUUAGUGGAUAGGCUAAGAAAGUUUAGGAUUUGGAGUCAAUUAAUAUUAGCAGUAAAUUAACAUGGAAUCAGUUAUGUUGUACGCUUUAAAUAACUGACUCUUUCCAACAGUGAAACAUAUUUGAAUCAA